UACGGGGGGAGCAAGCGUUGUUCGGAUUUACUGGGCGUAAAGGGCGCGUAGGCGGUCAGCACAAGUCAGUUGUGAAAUCUCCGGGCUUAACUCGGAAAGGUCAACUGAUACUGUGCGACUAGAGUGCGGAAGGGGCAACUGGAAUUCUCGGUGUAGCGGUGAAAUGCGUAGAGAUGUGGAGGAAUACCAAUGGCGAAGGCAGCCCCCUGGGAUAAUAUUGACGCUCAUGCACGAAAGCGUGGGGAGCAAACAGG
rnacentral:rRNA from 1 species